rnacentral:rRNA from 2 species
UGCAGUCGAGCGGACAGAAGGGAGCUUGCUCCCGGAUGUUAGCGGCGGACGGGUGAGUAACACGUGGGUAACCUGCCUGUAAGACUGGGAUAACUCCGGGAAACCGGAGCUAAUACCGGAUAGUUCCUUGAACCGCAUGGUUCAAGGAUGAAAGACGGUUUCGGCUGUCACUUACAGAUGGACCCGCGGCGCAUUAGCUAGUUGGUGGGGUAAUGGCUCACCAAGGCGACGAUGCGUAGCCGACCUGAGAGGGUGAUCGGCCACACUGGGACUGAGACACGGCCCAGACUCCUACGGGAGGCAGCAGUAGGGAAUCUUCCGCAAUGGACGAAAGUCUGACGGAGCAACGCCGCGUGAGUGAUGAAGGUUUUCGGAUCGUAAAGCUCUGUUGUUAGGGAAGAACAAGUGCGAGAGUAACUGCUCGCACCUUGACGGUACCUAACCAGAAAGCCACGGCUAACUACGUGCCAGCAGCCGCGGUAAUACGUAGGUGGCAAGCGUUGUCCGGAAUUAUUGGGCGUAAAGGGCUCGCAGGCGGUUUCUUAAGUCUGAUGUGAAAGCCCCCGGCUCAACCGGGGAGGGUCAUUGGAAACUGGGAAACUUGAGUGCAGAAGAGGAGAGUGGAAUUCCACGUGUAGCGGUGAAAUGCGUAGAGAUGUGGAGGAACACCAGUGGCGAAGGCGACUCUCUGGUCUGUAACUGACGCUGAGGAGCGAAAGCGUGGGGAGCGAACAGGAUUAGAUACCCUGGUAGUCCACGCCGUAAACGAUGAGUGCUAAGUGUUAGGGGGUUUCCGCCCCUUAGUGCUGCAGCUAACGCAUUAAGCACUCCGCCUGGGGGAGUACGGUCGCAAGACUGAAACUCAAAGGAAUUGACGGGGGCCCGCACAAGCGGUGGAGCAUGUGGUUUAAUUCGAAGCAACGCGAAGAACCUUACCAGGUCUUGACAUCCUCUGACAACCCUAGAGAUAGGGCUUUCCCUUCGGGGACAGAGUGACAGGUGGUGCAUGGUUGUCGUCAGCUCGUGUCGUGAGAUGUUGGGUUAAGUCCCGCAACGAGCGCAACCCUUGAUCUUAGUUGCCAGCAUUCAGUUGGGCACUCUAAGGUGACUGCCGGUGACAAACCGGAGGAAGGUGGGGAUGACGUCAAAUCAUCAUGCCCCUUAUGACCUGGGCUACACACGUGCUACAAUGGACAGAACAAAGGGCUGCAAGACCGCAAGGUUUAGCCAAUCCCAUAAAUCUGUUCUCAGUUCGGAUCGCAGUCUGCAACUCGACUGCGUGAAGC